GGGGAUCUGGUUUAGUGGUAUAACGUCUCAUUUGCAUGCUCACGCAUACGAUUUGAGAAGGUCUAGGGUUCGAUUCCCUAGUUCUCCA
rnacentral:tRNA from 1 species